rnacentral:rRNA from 1 species
CCUACGGGAGGCAGCAGUGAGGAAUAUUGGUCAAUGGGCGCGAGCCUGAACCAGCCAAGUCGCGUGAGGGAUGACGGUCCUACGGAUUGUAAACCUCUUUUGCCGGGGAGCAAGCGUGCGUUCGUGAACGCACGUCGAGAGUACCCGGAGAAAAAGGAUCGACCAACACCGUGCCAGCAGCCGCGGUAAUACGGAGGAUGCGAGCGUUAUCCGGAUUUAUUGGGUUUAAAGGGGGCGUAGGCGGGUGGCAAAGUAAGCGGUAAAAAUGCGGUGCUCAACGCCGUCGAGCCGUUGAAACUGGCGAUCUUGAGUGGGCGAGAAGUAGGCGGAAUGCGUGGUGUAGCGGUGAAAUGCAUAGAUAUCACGCAGAACUCCGAUUGCGAAGGCAGCAUACCGGCGCCCUACUGACGCUGAGGCACGAAAGCGUGGGUAUCGAACAGGAUUAGAUACCCUUGUAGUC